rnacentral:rRNA from 1 species
AACGAACGCUGGCGGCAUGCCUAACACAUGCAAGUCGAACGAAGCCUUCGGGCUUAGUGGCGCACGGGUGCGUAACGCGUGGGAAUCUGCCCUUGGGUUCGGAAUAACAGUUAGAAAUGACUGCUAAUACCGGAUGAUGUCUUCGGACCAAAGAUUUAUCGCCCAAGGAUGAGCCCGCGCAGGAUUAGGUAGUUGGUGGGGUAAUGGCCCACCAAGCCGACGAUCCUUAGCUGGUCCGAGAGGAUGAUCAGCCACACUGGGACUGAGACACGGCCCAGACUCCUACGGGAGGCAGCAGUGGGGAAUAUUGGACAAUGGGCGAAAGCCUGAUCCAGCCAUGCCGCGUGAGUGAUGAAGGCCUUAGGGUUGUAAAGCUCUUUUACCAGGGAUGAUAAUGACAGUACCUGGAGAAUAAGCUCCGGCUAACUCCGUGCCAGCCGCCGCGGUAACAC